UACGUAGGGUGCGAGCGUUAAUCGGAAUUACUGGGCGUAAAGCGUGCGCAGGCGGUUCGUUAAGUUCGAUGUGAAAGCCCCGGGCUCAACCUGGGAAUUGCAUUGGAAACUGGCGGGCUUGAGUGUGGCAGAGGGGGGUGGAAUUCCACGUGUAGCAGUGAAAUGCGUAGAGAUGUGGAGGAACACCGAUGGCGAAGGCAGCCCCCUGGGCUAACACUGACGCUCAGGCACGAAAGCGUGGGGAGCAAACAGG
rnacentral:rRNA from 2 species